GGACCUUCAGCCAUGUUUGCUGGGCCUGUGGUCCUAUUCUAGUCCUUGACUAACUCUGCCAGCCCAGUCCUUGCCAAAAUACUCCACGUUUUGAUAAAUCCCCAGUGUUGCAAUCAAGACAAGCAUUGCAAUUUCAGCAAUACAAACAUUUGGAGGAUAGAAGUUGCAUUGCCUUCCAGCAGACCCAAGCACGUGCCUUCAGACCUCUUCCAUGCAGUUCCUACACAGCUGCAAGCGCAGCCAAGCCCCACCUUGAAGCCACGGCCAAGGGCAUCAUACCUUGAUGAGCGAGACCCCGAUUGCGUCCUUCUUGAUGUGGCUUUUCAGCUGGUCACAAAGCUUCCCGAUGAACUGGUGUGGCACUACGAAGAGGAGAAUGUCCGCAUCGGCUGAAGCUUUCAGCACAUCUGGCACUGCCACCUGCAGCAAGCAAAGCAGAAGGUAAAAAAGCACCCACACAUGGUACCCGUAGCCUUUGGCAGACCACGAAGGAGCUGCUUUGCCUCAGGACUGUGAGAAGAGGUGGGAAAAUGGACCCUUGCUCUGAUGAACCCUGGCAGGGGCUCAGUCCUACACUGAAGUGAAGGGAGAUCUCGUAAUAGGUUUUCUUCAGGAAGGAGACAGGAGGGAGAAAAUCCACCCAGAAUGUCACACACGAGCAAGAGGCCCAGCCCUGCUGUCAUCAACUUUUUCAGACUCGGAAACCCCCAACGCUGGACCAUGCUUGUGAGCCACUGAUAUUGCAUGUCCAACUUUCUCCCACCUCUAAGCAGGGGACCAGCAGCAGGGGAAGGAGGAAGGACCUCGGUGCCUUUCCUGGAGAGGAAGGAGGAGCGGUUUUGGCAGACUAGCUUUCACAUCGUAGCACUGAUAGAAGCUCCAUCUGCUGCAGUGCCCCUUUUCCUACACUGCCCUUAAUGAUACGGGAGUCCCAUCUCCCUUUGCACCUGGCUCUUCCCAUCCCCCCCUCCCCCAACUCUCUCUUUCCCUCUGGCUUCUCCCCAAAGGAAAUACAUGCCCAUCAACUCCAGUCAGCAUGGACAGUGCUCAGGAAUCCUGGGAGUUGGUGUCCUCCAAAUAUUUUAAACUACAAGUGGGGAACGGCUGCUGACAGAGAAUUUUGCACAUUUCCAAUGGAAAGAAUUCGGUGAAUUCUUUUUCCACCUCCAUGACAAAAACUGGCCCAUUGCAGAGGAUGACUAGAACCCUGGGCUCAUUAUUAUGACCAUUAUUAUUAUUGCAUUGCCUUCCUCUCACAAGGGACACAAAGUGGCUUUUACA